UACACCUGAAGCUGUACUGCUCUGGGUGUACUAAUCCCAGCCUGCCUGGAGAUUAUCUUUUCCUUCAUCUGCUCAACAAGGAAGAGGAACGAGCUGAGUCACUGCACAAACUCGUUGGCAGAGCCUGAGCCCAGCCCAGCCCACCCCCAGCACCGACCGUGGAGUGCCCCACCUUUGUGUCCCAAGCUCCUGCCAAGCCUGGGGCACUCCCUGGCACUGCUGAGAGGGCUCUUGCUGCUGGGCAUUGUCCUAUCACACCAGCUCAUCCCACAAUGCCUCUGAGGAAGGAGUAGUGCAGAAUUUCCUUGAUGAUACGUGUUGUAAUGAAGGCUUAUCUCAUCUGUGACUUCUUUGACAGAACAACACAGGAGCAAUGAAACCUCCUCCCGACUUUCCUGGAGAUGAAGUCACAGCCAUGCUGUACAGGUCCUGGCAUCCCUUUCUCAUGGCUGCAGAGCAGAAGGGCACAGACCCAGGAGGUCAGAGAGGAGGAGACAGGAUGUCUACACGUGCACCUCGUGCCAUGCCCAGUGUGAACUGGCUGCUCUUGUUCAACCACUCUGCCCAAGGACCUCUUCACCCAGGACACACUGUGAGGAAUAUAGAGUUACUAAUAAGCUGCUUCCUCCGGCCUGUGUUGAAAACCCUGAAGGAGUUCUGUUCAUCUGCACAGCCUGGAUUUGAAGAUCAAGGUUUUUACUCAGCCCUGGAAGAUGCAGCCAUCUUCAGAAGGCCUUGAUCUUGCUGCUGCACUUGUGUGGCAGGUGGGAUGACCUCUUGCUCUCUGUGGCUGCCUGUGAAGUCCAAGGGUCUGUUUUAGCAUUUACUUCUCUCCACUUUCCUUGCCUGUUCCUGGGUCACAACAUGAAGAGGUAAAGCAACUCCUGCUGAUCUCCCCACCAUCAGAACUGUGCUGCUGCACUGCCACCAUCCAUGCAGGGAGGGGGCAUUUUCCCUCCUCUCCCCAGGACAAGGAGGUUCCAGGGACACAUUUGUGCCUCUCCAGUCCUUUGUGCUCUCUGCCCCAGCUCUUCACCUGUAGGAAGUUCAUAGCUGUCGUGGGUUGAGGUGGCUGGGUUUUUUGGUGGGGGAGGGGCACAGAGAGUGGCUUUGGUUAGAAGCUGCU